rnacentral:rRNA from 1 species
GCGCGAAAACUUUACAAUGCGGGAAACCGUGAUAAGGGGACACCGAGUGCCAGCAUCAUAUGCUGGCUGUCCGGAUGUGUAAAAUACAUCCGUUAGCAAGGGCCGGGCAAGACCGGUGC